rnacentral:misc_RNA from 1 species
GUUAUUAAUUAUUUUAAAUUAAUAAAAUAUAAUGUAAAUUAAUGAAAGAAAUAAUUAUAUGCUAAUUAAGUUGAUUAUUUUCUAAAAUAUAUGCUAAAACAAUGCACAUAAGUGUAGAAGAGAUGGUCUUUAGUUAAAAAGCUAUUCCUAGGUUCUAGAUUUGAUUCCUAGAGACUACAUUAUUUUUUUUUUCAACUAAGGUGCUGGAAAACUGGACCAAACCUGGUCGGGUCAACUGGUUCAAUUGCAGUCAGAAUUUGUGAGUGAACCGAACCGGACCAAGCUCCGGUUUCCAGUUAAACUGGUCCGACUGGCCGGUCUAAUCCAGUUUUCAAAACAAUGCUAUUAAUCAUAGUUUGUAUGGGGUUGCAGAUCUAUAUUUAUGACCUGUAAAUGCUUUAUUUUCUGUCUUGCCAUUACACUUUGGGUUUUUUUCCUUUGGGUAUGUAUAUGUUUAUGAUAUCUUAUAAGGUUAAUGGCAAUGAGAUCUUAGUAGGAGUUAGUUUCACAUAAGAAUAGUGUUCAGUACUUUGUAUAUUUGUAAACAGUUGAAGAGGGUUGCUAGUGUAUAUGUAUGUUUCCUCAAAUAGCAUCAUAUGGUAAUUUAUUUGUCACGUGGGAAAUGGAGAUUGUAUGUUAUGAGUGAUCAUAAACACUUGUGAAGCAUUGACGAUGGCAAUACGAAAUAGCUCCAAAGCAAUGCAUCUGAUGAUAAUGCUGACUAUUGUGGUGAUAGCAUUGACGAUGGCAAUAACAAAUAGCUUCAAAGCAAUGCUUCUGGUGAUAAUGCUGACAACUACAGUGAUUUCAUAUUCAUUCUGUUUCUGCUUCACGAUGUUGAGCUUGUACUGCUUUUUAUAUAUAUAUAUUUAUAUUAAACAGAGCUUGUCCUGUAAUAUUCUUCACCAUUUUUCGUGACUGACUUGGCUUAUGUCUAACUGACCUUUUGUGGUCGUAGAUUGGAAAGCAGGUCCCUGGUAUUGCUCUAUCAGUAGAAAGGGAAGGCCAUACUCAUAGUUUCUGUUGCACUGAGGCUGGUUCAGUGUGGGUUGCUCAGCAUGUGGCAAGCUUGAUAAAGAAUUCAAGUGUUAAGCUCAAUCCAAUAAAGUGAGACCCCUUGUAUAUUUUUAAACAAUUGGACAGAUGAUGAUAAUUAUUCAUCUCAUUCUUUGUAGUGACAAAUGCCAAUUUAUUUGGUGUAUUUUCUGAAAAAUGACUCCAUUUGUUUAUUUUGAUGACUAGUGAUUUGUGGAUGUGAACAGUGGUCUGAUAAAGCUUAGUCUUUGUUAUUGAUAAUGACCAAGUUACAUAAAAAAU